GUGAACCGAUCUAGUAAAUAAACCUGGAUCAAUAGGAUCCUCGAUUUUGGUUGGUUCAGCAAUGCUAAGUUUAUCUGAGGGGAAGACGAACCUCCCAGUUCUCGUCGCGGUCUCUUCGAUAAUCUUUAUAUUUAAAGCGCUGUUGCAUGGUAGAAAUAAGGAUGGACGACCACUUCCAAGGAUUUUAAUUUUAUUCACUGGUGAAUCGAGCAUUUCAACAAAUUUGGGUGCAUUUUAGUCAACGUCUGCUUUGUGCUCCCCGCUGUGAACUUCAGUCACUUUGUGAGUUCUCGUGAACUGAGGUGUGAAGUGCAAUGUUGAGGGGUAUGUGUCGCUACCGCACUCUGUGCACUUUAUGACUACCUUGCAGUCUCGUUUGAAGUACUCCUUGGAUCUGCAACAUCAAACACAUAUGCCAUUCUCCUUCCGGAGUUGUCGUCUCUCUUCAAUAAACUUAACCCUGCAUGAUUUACAUUCGUUCAAAGUGUGCUUCGAGUUAGUAUGUGCAAUCCACUUUUAAGCACACUGUCAGUGUUGCCCUUCGUAACUUCAGUCUUUCUAAUGUUCACUUUAAGGAUAAGAAUGGGGUAUUUAUUAGAGGAUCUACCAACGAAAUAUAGGCCUACGGUGCACAAUACAACUGCUAUUACAAUCCCUCUUAUUUCUUAUCAGAACAACAAUCCUCAUCGUUUUGAUAACGUACAUAUACAAUCUUUCGAAAUACGGAUUGCAUCAUAACAAAAAUAACAUUGACCUUUUGAUAGAAAAUAAAUCAUUUUAGUGAGAAUGAGAUGCUUUGAAUACACAAAAAGUGCGUCACAAUGCAUGUUGAGUAUGACUUCAGCAUUAAAACUAUAGUGUAGAAAAUUAUCUGUUAGACGGAUCUUUGUUGGAUUUUUUUCUAUGAGAAACAAGUGUUCUACAAUAUAUAUACGUCAAAUUUUAUAAACUAUUAAUUUACUAUCUUCGAUAUCGCUAUUAUUUAUCCAUUUUGGAUUUUUCCCCUUGUAAACUAGAACAGAGCAUACAUUUAGGAAAUUUAUUUUGAACAAUAUAUGCAAUCUAAAAUAACAAUGACAUUCUGUUUAAACCAUGUGUCAAAUAAUCAUUUUUUAUUCUUUCUUUUUUCUUUUUGCUGAUGUAUUUUCACAUUUGUGUAUAUUUUCAUGCUGUACCUCGAGGACCCUUGGCCUUUGGAAAUAAGAUAUGAACAUGCUGGGAGUUUAAGUGGCAAGCUUUGUGACAGAAAGCGUCAUUUUCAGUCCCUAUUUGUCCCUGGGGCUAAUAUCACUGUCAUGAUCGUGUGCAGGAUUGGACAAAACAAGAUGGCAGACGGCAUUUCCAAACAAAGAUAUAACGCUGGCUGUUCGAAUCCAGGAUAUAUAAGACCAUUUUGACCUAUAAAACACGUAUCAAGCCCUAGAACUUCAUUCUAUAAGAUGGGUACACUUCGAAUGUGCGAAAUUGGUGGUGAGGAAUUCAAGACCAAUUCUGAAUUUCGUAGGCAUGUAAAAAGGAAACAUCAAUCAGAGAAAUUGUCUUCGUUUGUGACCAGUGACCACACACGCUUUUGCACAUUAUAAAAGAAACAUGAAGUAAAAAAAAAUUACAUUGUUUUCUGAAUACACGAAGUGCAUACAUAUACCAUGGCAGCCGUUUUAUAUAUCCGUUUAUGUACAUUAUGAAACGAUUAUUUUUACGGUAUUAUGCUUUGUUUUACAGAGAUACUACUAAUCUUUUACAAAUGCAUUUUACACAUGUUGAUUUGUUAUUUCAUUGAACCAGAAGUGUUCUUAAUUUUUAUAUGUUAUUAAACAUAUUUCAAUGUUA